GACGAAGUCUGAGGAGCCCGCGCGUGCGUGAUGAGGCCUUCGGGUUGUAAAACUCUGUUGGUCGGGAAGAACACGUACCGGUCUAAUAGGGCGGUACCUUGCCGGUACCUAACCGGAAGGCCACGGCUAACUACUUGCCACCACCCCCAGUAUA
rnacentral:rRNA from 1 species